rnacentral:rRNA from 1 species
GAUGAACGCUGGCGGCGUGCCUAAUACAUGCAAGUCGAGCGAACAGACGAGGAGCUUGCUCCUCUGACGUUAGCGGCGGACGGGUGAGUAACACGUGGAUAACCUACCUAUAAGACUGGGAUAGCUUCGGGAAACCGGAGCUAAUACCGGAUAAUAUAUUGAACCACAUGGUUCAAUAGUGAAAGACGGUUUUGCUGUCACUUAUAGAUGGAUCCGCGCCGCAUUAGCUAGUUGGUAAGGUAACGGCUUACCAAGGCAACGAUGCGUAGCCGACCUGAGAGGGUGAUCGGCCACACUGGAACUGAGACACGGUCCAGACUCCUACGGGAGGCAGCAGUAGGGAAUCUUCCGCAAUGGGCGAAAGCCUGACGGAGCAACGCCGCGUGAGUGAUGAAGGUCUUCGGAUCGUAAAACUCUGUUAUUAGGGAAGAACAAAUGUGUAAGUAACUAUGCACGUCUUGACGGUACCUAAUCAGAAAGCCACGGCUAACUACGUG